AUGCAGAGGGACCUUCAUCUCAAGGAGCAGAGCCCAUCUGGAAUUGAAAACAUGACCCGGCCUUGGCUGUGCCUUCUGCUCUCCUGUUACUGGACUGGUUCUCUUGCCCAGUUCUCGCUGAUUCAGCCACCCUCAAUUUCAGCAUCUCUUGGAGGCACAGCAAAACUCUCCUGUACGCACGGUAGUAGUGGCGGCACAUUAGGAACGGUUGGCUGGUACAAGCAAACGGUUGGAAAGAGCCCAAGCUACUUACUGUUGUACAACACAGACUCGGACAAGCAUCAGGGCUCUGGCGUUCCUGAUCGUUUCUCUGCCUCCAAGGAUUCCUCCAGGAGAAAUUGCUAUUUAACCAUCACCAACAUUCAGGCAGAGGACGAGGGAGAUUAUUACUGUCUUGCAUUUAGAGUCACAUCAGAAGCGACUGUGUACACUGAGAUACAGUCCAAUGAAGAAGUCAGCCAAAAACCAACAUCCUUCCUCUGUUGCCUGCCCAAGUUCCUCCUGCAGGCUUUAAAAGUGAUGCUUCUUGCAGCUGCUAGUGAAUAG